rnacentral:rRNA from 1 species
AUUGAACGCUGGCGGCAGGCCUAACACAUGCAAGUCGAGCGGUAGCACAGGAGAGCUUGCUCUCUGGGUGACGAGCGGCGGACGGGUGAGUAAUGUCUGGGAAACUGCCUGAUGGAGGGGGAUAACUACUGGAAACGGUAGCUAAUACCGCAUAACGUCGCAAGACCAAAGUGGGGGACCUUCGGGCCUCAUGCCAUCAGAUGUGCCCAGAUGGGAUUAGCUAGUAGGUGGGGUAAUGGCUCACCUAGGCGACGAUCCCUAGCUGGUCUGAGAGGAUGACCAGCCACACUGGAACUGAGACACGGUCCAGACUCCUACGGGAGGCAGCAGUGGGGAAUAUUGCACAAUGGGCGCAAGCCUGAUGCAGCCAUGCCGCGUGUAUGAAGAAGGCCUUCGGGUUGUAAAGUACUUUCAGCGAGGAGGAAGGCAUUAAGGUUAAUAACCUUAGUGAUUGACGUUACUCGCAGAAGAAGCACCGGCUAACUCCGUGCCAGCAGCCGCAGUAAAAC